rnacentral:rRNA from 1 species
AGUGAACGCUGGCGGUAGGCCUAACACAUGCAAGUCGAACGGCAGCACAGUAAGUUCUUGCUCUUACGGAUGGCGAGAGGCGGACGGGUGAGGAAUACGUCGGAAUCUACUUUUUCGGGUGGGAUAAGGUAGGUAAACUUACUCUAAUACCGCAUACUACCUACGGUUGAAAGCAGGAGAGCUUCUCACCUUGCGCGGUUGAAUGAGCCGAUGUGGGAGUAGCUAGUGGGCGGGGUAAAGGCCCACCAGGGGGACGAUCGGUAGAUGGUGUGAGAGGAUGAUCAGCCGCACUGGAACUGAGACAGCGUCCAGAGUCCUAAGGGAGGCCGCAGUGGGGAAUAUUGGACAGUGGGGGCAAGCAUGAUACAGCGAUACCGCGUGGGUGACGAAGGCGUUGGGGUUGUAAAGCCCUUUUGUUGGGAAAGAACAGCAGCAGGUUAGUACCACGCUGUUCUGACGGUACCCAAAGAAUAAGCACCGGCUAACUUCGUG